UGGGGAAUCUUGCGCAAUGGCCGAAAGGCUGACGCAGCGACGCCGCGUGUGGGAUGAAGCAUUUCGGUGUGUAAACCACUGUUGCCCGGGACGAACACACUCUUUCGAGAGUGCUGACGGUACCGGGUGAGGAAGCACCGGCUAACUCCGUGCCAGCAGCCGCGGUAAUACGGAGGGUGCGAGCGUUGUCCGGAAUCACUGGGCGUAAAGGGCGCGUAGGCGGCGCGGGCAGUCAACGGUGAAAGCUCGGAGCUCAACUCCGAGUCGGCCGUCGAUACUCCCGCGCUCGAGCACUGUAGAGGCAGGUGGAAUUCCGGGUGUAGCGGUGGAAUGCGUAGAGAUCCGGAAGAACACCGGUGGCGAAGGCGGCCUGCUGGGCAGUAGCUGACGCUGAGGCGCGACAGCGUGGGGAGCAAACAGGAUUAGAUACCCCCGUAGUCC
rnacentral:rRNA from 1 species